GUCGCUUCCAAGAACUUGAUAAGAUUAUUUUCCCACUCCUAACUUCAUAUCAUUGGCAUAUGUUGGUAUUCUCUGUAAAGGAUAGGAGAUUAUCAUUAUUCUUCCCUCCGCGGGUAUAUGUCCGAUGCUAUUGAGUUUAGAGUGAAGCUUAUUUCUACCAUUCCCGAUGCUUGGAACUUAGACAUUAAUUCUUGUCAGGAGGUAGAAAGUGUUGAUGUACCGCAACAACGUGGUAGUAUGGAUUGCGGGGUGUUCUUGAUGGCGUACAUGUUUAGCCUCGUUUCCGGUCUCCAGUUUCAAUUCACCAGAAGGAUUGUGCAAGACAUAGAGCUCGCAUUGUUGCUCUAAUUCUAUCUGAAGGAAAUCAACCAUCAUGACCCUCAAGAAUGCUACAUGCCAUAUUUGUUCUUUUGAUCCACUUAUACUCAGUGUGUUGUAUUGUUCUUGUCAGGAUGCUACAUUGCC